CUGAAGGAGGAGCUUGCUCUUCUGGAUGAGUUGCGAACGGGUGAGUAACGCGUAGGUAACCUGCCUGGUAGCGGGGGAUAACUAUUGGAAACGAUAGCUAAUACCGCAUAACAGUAGAUAUCGCAUGAUAGCUGCUUGAAAGGUGCAAUUGCACCACUACCAGAUGGACCUGCGUUGUAUUAGCUAGUUGGUGAGGUAACGGCUCACCAAGGCCACGAUACAUAGCCGACCUGAGAGGGUGAUCGGCCACACUGGGACUGAGACACGGCCCAGACUCCUACGGGAGGCAGCAGUAGGGAAUCUUCGGCAAUGGACGGAAGUCUGACCGAGCAACGCCGCGUGAGUGAAGAAGGUUUUCGGAUCGUAAAGCUCUGUUGUAAGAGAAGAACGAGUGUGAGAGUGGAAAGUUCACACUGUGACGGUAUCUUACCAGAAAGGGACGGCUAACUACGUGCCAGCAGCCGCGGUAAUACGUAGGUCCCGAGCGUUGUCCGGAUUUAUUGGGCGUAAAGCGAGCGCAGGCGGUUAGAUAAGUCUGAAGUUAAAGGCUGUGGCUUAACCAUAGUACGCUUUGGAAACUGUUUAACUUGAGUGCAAGAGGGGAGAGUGGAAUUCCAUGUGUAGCGGUGAAAUGCGUAGAUAUAUGGAGGAACACCGGUGGCGAAAGCGGCUC
rnacentral:rRNA from 1 species